UACGAAGGGGCGAGCGUUGUUCGGAUUUACUGGGCGUAAAGGGCGCGCAGGCGGCUCAUUUUGUCAGGCGUGAAAGCCCGGCUUAACCUGGGACUGCGUUUGAUACGGAUGGGCUAGAGUUCGGGAGAGGAGAGUGGAAUUCCCAGUGUAGAGGUGAAAUUCGUAGAUAUUGGGAAGAACACCGGUGGCGAAGGCGGCUCUCUGGACCGAGACUGACGCUGAGGCGCGAAAGCGUGGGGAGCAACAGG
rnacentral:rRNA from 1 species